UUUCCCUCAGGAUAGUUGGAGCUUGGAAACGAGUUCUAUUGGGUAAAGCCAAUGAUUAGAGGCAUCGGGGAUGCAAUGUCCUUGACCUAUUCUCAUACUUUCAAUAGGUAGGAUGGGGUGGCUGCUUGUAACGCCCGAAUCCGGCCUCUCGACAAGACUGAACCC
rnacentral:ncRNA from 1 species